rnacentral:lncRNA from 1 species
AGGUAUUGGGACUACUGCUGCCUUCCCAUCCUCAAGGGCCAGUGGGAACUCUAAUAUUGAUUGGGUGAGAUACAAUUCCACGAAAUUUUACCACUGAACCAGUGAAGGGCUAAUUUUGUCAUUUGUACCAGUUAACUAAUUUGGGAGGAAACAGAACAACACACUCCUGAGGGACCAGUAGGAAUUUUCCCAUGGUAAGCAUUUUAUCCUUAAAAUACUGACAUCCUGUUAAGAGAUCAUGACACUCCAGUGACCAUGGGACCCUGGCUAUGCUAGUCUGCCAGGGGGCUGACCAUUGACAGUGAUGCUGGUCUCUAUGAUUAAAUAGUGUGGGUCAGCAUGUCCCAGGGUGACAGAAAGCUGUGUGAUCAGUGUCUGUCACAUAUCUCAGACUCAAGAUUCCUUUUUAAAAUGUGCCUGGAUCGAUGAUGACUUAAAGAUUGAUCUAAUUUAAAUCUGAACAAAAUGAGUGACCAAAACACUUCUGUACCACUUCUGUGAGCUGAGGUCCAGCACAGAGACCACUCCAGUCAAACGUGUUGCCUGGAGUUGCAACUAGUUGGUCAGUUAGAAGCAACCACAGGGACUGGGGUAUUUGAAAACCACUUGAGGGCAUUUAUUGGAGGAAAUGAAUUUUACAUUUGUGUAUAAAAAUUCAAUUGUAGGGUAACAUGGAAACUCUUGAGAGUUUGGUUGGCGGCAUCUAUAUACCAUAGAAACAGAGCCUGGGAAAGCAGAACAGUGAGACCCAAGAGAAAUGUUCCUGCCUAUACUUGAUUGGUUGUCACAGAAUUCCGUGGACUUUAACCAGUGAUGCGCUGAUUUUGUCAUUUGUACCAGCUAACUCAUCUGGGAGGCAACAAAACAAUAUUCUCCUGAGGUUAAUGUGGACGAAGAACUAGAUUUCAUGUAAAAAGAGUUUAUUCCUUCUAUUUGAGGUGUGACAUGAAGGAAAG